rnacentral:lncRNA from 1 species
CAUGGUCUGGCCACAUAGCGAGCGCCUGUUGUCACAUCUGAUGCUGUGUUGGGGAGUGGACUGUGAGGUCUCAGAAUGAGCCAGCCUGGAUGGGCUGGGCAGGGGAUCUACAACCUGCCCCAGGAUGGAGCAGGAGAGGAGGAGCAGGAGAGCAGGGCGCCCGCGGCCUCUCUCAACCUGUAGAACUUGCCGCCUGUGAUGCUCGGUCGUGGUCUACAUCGGACCACCCAGCUUUGCCUGUGUUCUCCUGCAGGGCCCUGCUUGAAGCCCAGAGACCGAGGUGCUGACCUUGCUUCUCUUUUCUCUUGGUGGAUGGCCAGAUGGAUGGAAGUUAGGGAGUUCUGCACCCCCUCUCAGCUGCUUCUCUGCCCUCUCCCUGUGGGGAUGGCUCUACCUUCAUUGACACUAUAGAGAAGCCAAAGGGCAGGGACACAACCUGUGGGGCCCACGCACUUGCCACCCUGAGGCCAGGGGGAAGGCGGAUCUGGUGUCUCCUAACCCCCAGCAGAGCCCACUUGACCUCCCAACCCCUUGCCCUCUGGGGACCGUGACCUCUGGAACCUCUAGGCAAAGCUUCUCCUCCUGAGGUUCAGUCUCCCUACAGGGGAACUUUAGCUCUGAAUACACAGUGGGUCUGGGCAGGUGGGCAAAUUGACCAGAGUCCACAAGUGUGAACAGGAACGGGCUGUGGGGUGAGAGGCGAAGCUAAGUUCUGCCCAUAGCGACCCCGAAUCCAUGAGGGUGUCUACCAGUGGGCGUGGGGAAUUCUAGGAUCCCCAUGGAGACCAAGAGCCUCUAUGCUCAAGUCUCUUCAGUGAAAUGGUGUGAUACUAGUGUCCAUUCUCCCAUGUCCUUUUAAUCACCCCUAGAUUACUUACAACACCUAAGAAAGCUUUAUGUAAAUAAUUGUAUGGUAUCAUUUAUGGAGUCGAUUUCUAGCUGUCAACGGGGUAGCCCUGAGUAGAAUUCAGAAUACUUUAGAAUUCUCUCUUGCUGUAAUCCCAGUGGCUCAGGAGGCCAAGACAGGAAGACUGUGGGUUCAAAGCCAGCCUCAGCAAUUUAG